AGCUCAGAUUGAACGCUGGCGGCAUGCUUUACACAUGCAAGUCGAACGGUAACAGGUCUUCGGAUGCUGACGAGUGGCGAACGGGUGAGUAAUGCAUCGGAACGUGCCCAGUCGUGGGGGGAUAACGCAGCGAAAGCUGUGCUAAUACCGCAUACGAUCUAUGGAUGAAAGCGGGGGACCGUAAGGCCUCGCGCGAUUGGAGCGGCCGAUGUCAGAUUAGCUAGUUGGUGGGGUAAAGGCCCACCAAGGCGACGAUCUGUAGCUGGUCUGAGAGGACGACCAGCCACACUGGGACUGAGACACGGCCCAGACUCCUACGGGAGGCAGCAGUGGGGAAUUUUGGACAAUGGGCGCAAGCCUGAUCCAGCAAUGCCGCGUGCAGGAAGAAGGCCUUCGGGUUGUAAACUGCUUUUGUACGGAACGAAAAGGUCCGGGUUAAUACCCUGGGCUCAUGACGGUACCGUAAGAAUAAGCACCGGCUAACUACGUG
rnacentral:rRNA from 1 species